rnacentral:tRNA from 1 species
GGAUUGGUGGUGUAGUGGUAAUACGUUGCAUCAGGAAAUGAAAGAGGUUGGUUCGAUUCCCACCCAGUCCG